rnacentral:rRNA from 1 species
UACAGAGGUCUCAAGCGUUGUUCGGAUUCAUUGGGCGUAAAGGGUGCGUAGGCGGCGCGGUAAGUCGGGUGUGAAAUCUCGGGGCUUAACUCCGAAAUUGCAUUCGAUACUGCCGUGCUUGAGGACUGGAGAGGAGACUGGAAUUUACGGUGUAGCGGUGAAAUGCGUAGAUAUCGUAAGGAAGACCAGUGGCGAAGGCGGGUCUCUGGACAGUUCCUGACGCUGAGGCACGAAGGCCAGGGGAGCAAACGGG